UACGGAGGGUGCAAACGUUGCUCGGAAUCAUUGGGCGUAAAGCGCACGUAGGCGGACCAUCAAGUCGGAUGUGAAAUCCCUCGGCUUAACCGAGGACGUGCAUUCGAAACUGAUGGUCUUGAGUACGAAAGAGGAUCGCGGAAUUCCCGGUGUAGAGGUGAAAUUCGUAGAUAUCGGGAGGAACACCAGUGGCGAAGGCGGCGAUCUGGGUCGAUACUGACGCUGAGGAGCGAAAGCGUGGGGAGCGAACAGG
rnacentral:rRNA from 1 species